rnacentral:rRNA from 1 species
AUUGAACGCUGGCGGCGUGCUUAACACAUGCAAGUCGAACGAAGUGGCGAACGGGUGAGUAACGCGUAAUCAACCUGCCCUUCAGAGGGGGACAACAGUUGGAAACGACUGCUAAUACCGCAUACUGAAGGAGGGGAUUGCGUCUGAUUAGCUAGUUGGAGUGGUAAUGGCCCACCAAGGCGAUGAUCAGUAGCCGGUCUGGGGAGUGGGACGGCCACAUUGGGACUGGGAAACGGCCCAGACUCCUACGGGGGGCAGCAGUGGGGAAUCUUCCGACAUGGACGAAAGUCUGACGGAGCAACGCCGCGUGAGUGAUGACGGCCUUCGGGUUGUAAAGCUCUGUUAAUCGGGACGCGGUACCGGAAUAGAAAGCCACGGCUAACUACGUGCCAGCCGCCGCGGUAAUUC